rnacentral:rRNA from 1 species
UCUUGGUCAAUUAGAGGAAGUAAAAGUCGUAACAAUGUCUCCGUAGGUGAACCUGCGGAGGGAUCAUUACCG